ACAAAGGUGGGAGUGCGAUGCCAGUGGAGGCCAAGUCCGGCGCCAGUCCUGCGAUACCCGCGGAAACUCCGCCGCCCACAGU
rnacentral:rRNA from 12 species